AAAUAUAACACUCCCUAGUAAAUGCAUGCUUCACCUCUGGACUACCAAACACAAUGUCUGCUCGUGAUCUAAAUUAAGUUCCCCAUCCCCCUGCAUCCCUACCAGCUUUCUGCUGUGAGUUUUUUAUGAUCAUUCCUUACUGCCAAAUUUGCUGGAAACAGUCUUCUCAAUUUGCAUUUCUUCUUUU